CUACGGGGGGCUCCAGUGGGGAAUAUUGCACAAUGGGGGAAACCCUGAUGCAGCAACGCCGCGUGGAGGAUGACACAUUUCGGUGCGUAAACUCCUUUUAUAGGUCAAGAUAAUGACGGUAGCCUAUGAAUAAGCGCCGGCUAACUCCGUGCCAGCAGCCGCGGUAAUACGGAGGGCGCAAGCGUUACUCGGAAUCACUGGGCGUAAAGAGCAUGUAGGCGGGUUAAUAAGUCAGAAGUGAAAUCCAAUAGCUCAACUAUUGAACUGCUUUUGAAACUGUUAACCUAGAGUGUGGGAGAGGUAGAUGGAAUUUCUGGUGUAGGGGUAAAAUCCGUAGAGAUCAGAAGGAAUACCGAUUGCGAAGGCGAUCUACUGGAACAUUACUGACGCUGAGAUGCGAAAGCGUGGGGAGCAAACAGGAUUAGAUACCCUAGUAGUC
rnacentral:rRNA from 1 species